ACGUUAGCGGCGGACGGGUGAGUAACACGUGGGUGACCUACCUAUAAGACUGGGAUAACUCCGGGAAACCGGGGCUAAUACCGGAUAACACAUGAAACCGCAUGGUUUCAUGAUGAAAGACGGUUUUGCUGUCACUUAUAGAUGGACCCGCGGCGUAUUAGCUAGUUGGUAAGGUAACGGCUUACCAAGGCAACGAUACGUAGCCGACCUGAGAGGGUGAUCGGCCACACUGGAACUGAGACACGGUCCAGACUCCUACGGGAGGCAGCAGGG
rnacentral:rRNA from 1 species